rnacentral:misc_RNA from 1 species
GAUGAAGAACGCAGCGAAAUGCGAUAAGUAAUGUGAAUUGCAGAAUUCAGUGAAUCAUCGAAUCUUUGAACGCACCUUGCACCCUUUGGUAUUCCGAAGGGUAUGCUCGUUUGAGUGUCAUUGUACUCUCACACUUCUAAUUCCUUUCGGGAUUGGGAGCAGUGGACUUGGGUGUUGCUGCUUUAGUUGUGGCUCACCUCAAAUAAGUUAGUGCAACUCUUGGUUGGACAUAGUACGGCGUGAUAAGUGUCUUCGCCGGCGCCUCUGUAAGGAGGGUGGCCGAUCGGGAGCUCUGUGCUUCAAACCGUCUUCGGACAAUCUUUGACAACUUGACCUCAAAUCGAGUAGGACUACCCGCUGAACUUAAGCAUAUCAAUAAGCGGAGGA